GAUGAACGCUGGCGGCGUGCCUAAUACAUGCAAGUCGAGCGAACGGACGAGAAGCUUGCUUCUCUGAUGUUAGCGGCGGACGGGUGAGUAACACGUGGAUAACCUACCUAUAAGACUGGGAUAACUUCGGGAAACCGGAGCUAAUACCGGAUGAUAUUUUGAACCGCAUGGUUCAAAAGUGAAAGACGGUCUUGCUGUCACUUAUAGAUGGAUCCGCGCUGCAUUAGCUAGUUGGUAAGGUAACGGCUUACCAAGGCAACGAUGCAUAGCCGACCUGAGAGGGUGAUCGGCCACACUGGAACUGAGACACGGUCCAGAACCCUAAGGGAGGCAGCAGUGGGGAAUCUUCCGCAAUGGGCGAAAGCCUGACGGAGCAACGCCGCGUGAGUGAUGAAGGUCUUCGGAUCGUAAAACUCUGUUAUUAGGGAAGAACAUAUGUGUAAGUAACUGUGCACAUCUUGACGGUACCUAAUCAGAAAGCCACGGCUAACUACGUG
rnacentral:rRNA from 1 species